rnacentral:rRNA from 1 species
UGAAAGCAUCUAAGCGUGAAGCCCCCCUCAAGAUGAGAUUUCCCAGUAUGUAAGACCCCUUGAAGACGACGAGGUAGAUAGGUUGGGGGUGGAAGUGCAGCAAUGCAUGGAGCUGACCAAUACUAAUCGGUCGAGGGCUUAUCCUAA